AUACGUAGGUGGCAAGCGUUAUCCGGAAUUACUGGGCGUAAAGCGCACGCAGGCGGCCAGUCAAGUCUGACGUGAAAGCUCCUGGCUUAACUGGGAGAGGUCGUUGGAAACUGAUUGGCUUGAGGCAACGAGAGGGACACGGAAUUCCCGGUGUAGUGGUGGAAUGCGUAGAUAUCGGGAGGAACACCAGUGGCGAAAGCGGUGUCCUGGCAUUGACCUGACGCUCAUGUGCGAAAGCGUGGGGAGCGAACGGGAUUAGAAACCCCAGUAGUCC
rnacentral:rRNA from 1 species